rnacentral:rRNA from 1 species
UAGAGUUUGAUCCUGGCUCAGGAUGAACGCUAGCGACAGGCCUAACACAUGCAAGUCGAGGGGCAUCGGGGCGAGGAGCAAUCCUUGCCGCCGGCGACCGGCGCACGGGUGAGUAACGCGUAUGCGACCUGCCCGUUGCAGGGGGAUAAUCGGGAGAAAUCCCGUCUAAUACCGCGUAACGCCGCGGGGCUGCAUGGCCCUGCGGCCAAAGGAAGCGAUUCCGGCAACGGAUGGGCAUGCGUGACAUUAGCUAGUUGGCGGGGCAACGGCCCACCAAGGCGACGAUGUCUAGGGGUUCUGAGAGGAAGGUCCCCCACACUGGUACUGAGACACGGACCAGACUCCUACGGGAGGCAGCAGUGAGGAAUAUUGGUCAAUGGGCGCGAGCCUGAACCAGCCAAGUCGCGUGAGGGAUGACGGCCCUACGGGUUGUAAACCUCUUUUGUCGGGGAGCAAAUUCCGUUACGUGUAACGGAGUCGAGAGUACCCGAAGAAAAAGCAUCGGCUAACUCCGUGCCAGCAGCCGCGGUAAUACGGAGGAUGCGAGCGUUAUCCGGAUUUAUUGGGUUUAAAGGGUGCGUACGCGGACUGUCAAGUCAGCGGUAAAAUACGGGGGCUCAACCUCCGCCCGCCGUUGAAACUGACGGUCUUGAGUGGGCGAGAAGUAUGCGGAAUGCGUGGUGUAUCGGUGAAAUGCAUAGAUAUCACGCAGAACUCCGAUUGCGAAGGCAGCAUACCGGCGCCCAACUGACGCUGAAGCACGAAAGCGUGGGUAUCGAACAGGAUUAGAUACCCUGGUAGUCCACGCAGUAAUCGAUGAAUACUAGCUGUCCGGGGCGAAUGACCCCUGGGUGGCACAGCGAAAGCGUUAAGUAUUCCACCUGGGGAGUACGCCGGCAACGGUGAAACUCAAAGGAAUUGACGGGGGCCCGCACAAGCGGAGGAACAUGUGGUUUAAUUCGAUGAUACGCGAGGAACCUUACCCGGGCUCAAACGACACAGGAACGUACCUGAAAGGGUUCGGCUCUACGGAGCCUGUGUCGAGGUGCUGCAUGGUUGUCGUCAGCUCGUGCCGUGAGGUGUCGGCUUAAGUGCCAUAACGAGCGCAACCCCCAUCGACAGUUGCUAACAGGUCAGGCUGAGGACUCUGUCGAGACUGCCGGCGCAAGCUGCGAGGAAGGCGGGGAUGACGUCAAAUCAGCACGGCCCUUACGUCCGGGGCGACACACGUGUUACAAUGGCAGGUACAGCGGGAAGCCACCUGGCGACAGGGAGCGGAACCCGAAAGCCUGUCUCAGUUCGGAUUGGAGUCUGCAACCCGACUCCAUGAAGCUGGAUUCGCUAGUAAUCGCGCAUCAGCCACGGCGCGGUGAAUACGUUCCCGGGCCUUGUACACACCGCCCGUCAAGCCAUGGAAGCCGGGGGUGCCUGAAGUGCGCUGCCGCGAGGAGCGCCCUAGGGUAAAACCGGUGAACUGGGGCUAAGUCGUAACAAGGUAACCGUA